rnacentral:piRNA from 1 species
UCUCGCUUAAUCUAACUCACCCAAGGCU